rnacentral:rRNA from 1 species
UACGGGGGGGGGCAAGCGUUGUUCGGAAUUACUGGGCGUAAAGGGUUCGUAGGUGGCCAACUAAGUCAGACGUGAAAUCCCUCGGCUUAACCGGGGAACUGCGUCUGAUACUGGAUGGCUAGAGUUUGGGAGAGGGAUGCAGAAUUCCAGGUGUAGCGGUGAAAUGCGUAGAUAUCAGGAGGAACACCGGCGGUGUAGACGGCUUGCUAGACCAUAACUGACGCUGAGGCACGAAAGCGUGGGUAGCAAACAGG